rnacentral:rRNA from 1 species
ACGUAGGUCACAAGCGUUGUCCGGAAUUACUGGGUGUAAAGGGAGCGCAGGCGGGAGAACAAGUUGGAAGUGAAAUCCAUGGGCUCAACCCAUGAACUGCUUUCAAAACUGUUUUUCUUGAGUAGUGCAGAGGUAGGCGGAAUUCCCGGUGUAGCGGUGGAAUGCGUAGAUAUCGGGAGGAACACCAGUGGCGAAGGCGGCCUACCGGGCACCAACUGACGCUGAGGCUCGAAAGUGUGGGUAGCAAACAG